CAGCGGUCAUAACCGUCGGAAAAAAUAAGAUUUUUAUUAACAGCCAUCUACAGCAUUCCAUACUCUAAGUCAGAAAUUUCAGCAAAGGUGCUGCUUUUGAAGGCUAGUUAGCUUUAUUAUUCUUGUUGGUCCUUCAUUAUAUGUUACUGCAGUAGGUCCCUACCUUUCAAUACUGCUGACUAAGAUUGGAGGCUCCUGAUAUGGACAGCAGAGGUCUGCCAAGAGCUGUGUGACAUAGAAGGGUAUGGAUUUCAUCCUCUGUGUCUCAAUCACCCCA
rnacentral:lncRNA from 1 species